ensembl:lncRNA
CACAUUAACACACACACACGCGCUAUCAAAUGCACACAUUAUCACUGACACACACACACACACACACACACACACACACACACACACACACACACACACACACAUAAACACACACACACGCACACAGAGACUAGACUGUGUAAUUGUCCCUCAGGUAUCAUAAGGUUCAUAAACAGCCCGAUAGCACUUCCACUAAGUGGAGUUUGUCUGAGUGUAACACAGGGCCGUCUGUCUGUCUUCAGGACCACAGGGCUGUCUGGCUGUCUGUCUGUCUUCAGGACCACAGGGCCGUCUGUCUGUCUGUCUGUCUUCAGGACCACAGGGCCGUCUGUCUGUCUUCAGGACCACAGGGCUGUCUGUCUGUCUUCAGGACCACAGGGCCGUCUGUCUGUCUUCAGGACCACAGGGCCGUCUGUCUGUCUGUCUGUCUUCAGGACCACAGGGCCGUCUGUCUGUCUGACUGUCUUCAGGACCACAGGGCUGUCUGUCUGUCUUCAGGACCACAGGGC